UAUCCCAAAGAUAUGUGUGAAGUUUCAAAAGAAUACUUUCAGUGGAUUUUAAGAGGCAGGUUGAUAACCUUAUAAACUUAACCAAGUAUGAAUUUGAUGCUGACAAGCUUCGGACUGCUGACUUUAUUAUUUUAAUAGUCCAGCUAAAUAUGCAGUUUAGUUUAAAACACAGUGCAGUAUGGCUUAAGUCAAUAUCAAAGAAUCAGAAAAUAUAAUUGAAACUCUAUAGACUUAAAUUAUAUGUUAUAACAGAGCUGCUGUAAGUUAUUAAAUGUCACAUGAUCUGGUACAUAUUUUGAUUGAAGUCAACACUGUCUCUACAAACAUAUCUGCCAAUAAAUUAAAUUCCCUUGUCCAACUUCAGCCUGUCAUCUGACCAAUCCU